GAUUGUGACCGAUAGUAGAGAAGAGGAACACAGGGAAGCAGUGGAGAAAGUCUGUUAAACGAGUGAAAAUAUGGAGUAAAAUCAACGUUUGAGUCGUCGCUUGGGGAUGUUAGCUGUGUGACACUUCAUUACUGAGCAAGUCGCUAUGCUAAAACAAGCUUUGGAGCUGUUUUGUCGAACACGACUCAGGCUGGAAGCUGAGCACACCUGGCGCGAAGGUUUACUUGCUGAGUUGCAGUAGCCUGGGUGGAAAUAGCACCUCUCACCUUACAGACCAAAGAGGUGUCAUCACUUUGUCCAUGAGUGCAGAGACCAGACCAGAAAAUCCACAAGAGGCCUCCAUCCAGGUGAAUUCACAGAAACGACUCAAUGCACUGAAGGUAAAAGGAGGGGGAGAAGAUGACAACGCAGUGGCAGCUCUGGACCUGGAGUGGAUGGAAAAUUAUGAAAGCGUUAUCAAACAUCACUGUUUUAUGUAUCAGGCUGAUAGGACCUGCUGCUCAGUGUUGGUGUCAUUUAAGUGGAGAGACUUUGUUUUAGCUCCCACCACCUUAAUAACAACACUGAUGUUGUUAUGAGCACAUUUUCUGAAGACCAACAUGUCUAUUAAGAAUCUUCAAGAACUACUUAUGAUACAAUAAUUACAAUAAUUUUAUGAAGAACUA